AUGUUGCUUGCGGUAACUUUGUGGGCUAUCUGGUCGGCACGACGAAAGGCGAUACAUGAAGGUAUUUUCCAGAGCCCUCAAUCCACACAUGCGUUUGUAAACAGGUAUAUAUCAGAUUUGGAAAUCGUUGGUACUAGCAAUCCGCGGGCCGUCCAGGGACCGGCGUCGCCUGCUGCUAGACCCAAGGCUCCUCCUAUGGGAUAUGCAAAAAUUCAUGUGGACGCAGGAGUCAGGUUCGAGCGGGGAGGCUCUGCUGCUGCUAUCUGCAGGGAUGACCAAGGAUUCUAUCUUGGAAGUUCUGCACUCGUCACUUAUGGUGUAUGCGAUCCUACUGUUUUGGAGGCAAUUGCUUGCCGGGAGGCCUUAGCUUUGGCAGAGGACCUCAACCUGCAACAGUUCAUCAUUGCCUCAGACUGCAAACAAGUUGUCUCGGACAUUCAAAAGGGGAUCAGAGGCCGAUAUGGUACUAUCAUUAGCAAAAUAAAACUCAGUGCUACUACGUUUAAUUACAAAUUUGUUUGGGAGGGUCGUGCCGAGGCACAUAGAUUAGCUAAAUUUGCUCUUUCGCAGGGUCCGGGACGCCAUAUGUGGCUUGGAAACCCCCAUGACCCUUCAUGUAUCCCACUUUAUGUGGAUUUUUGUGAUGAAUAA
rnacentral:rRNA from 1 species